AACACCUGAAAGUUCUUACAUUUUAGAGUUUGAGCUUUUUAGUGUUUCUAC
rnacentral:tRNA from 1 species